AAAGGAGCGAAAACGGACCGAAAAGGAGCAAAAAUGGACAAAAGGGCCACACAUGUGCAGCCAAUUGGGCCACACAUGUGCAGCCCACACAAAACAAACACGCAAGUCCACAAGCAAAGAAGUGCCGCUCGCCAGCUAAAUACAAAUGGCAACCGCCAGCUUUUAAUCAUGGCCAUUCCCUCUUAAUCAAAUCGUGUGGCUCUCGCCACACCAUUCUAAGUCCCACAUCGGCCAAACCAUUCCUCCCCCCACUUGUAUUUUAGUAUAAAUAUGUGUCCUUUCUUACACUUUAGACACACACCAACUUGUAACAGUUGAGGAAGAGAAUUGAGACUAAGAUUUAAUUCUUGGUUUCUUCUCUUAGUUUAAUAUUUUUAUUUCCUGCUGUUGCGCUGUCGGUGUCCGUACUCAAGAUUUCUUUUAUUAAUUCAGGUUCUUUAUUUUAUUUUCUUUUCUUUAUUUUUAUGCUUAUUUUAUUUAUUUUAUUUUUCUGUUUUUAUUUAAUGUCUUUAUUUUUAUUUAUUUAUUUUAUGUCUUUAUUUUUAGUUAUGUCUAGCUAAAUUUAGCGUUGCUAGGAUGUGUAGUUAGUAGCUAAUAGGGGUUCGGUAGUUAAUUCGCGCUUAAUAGUUUUCAACCACCAGUUUUAAAUAAAUACGUUUUCAAAUAAUUCGUCACGAGAGUGAGGAUUGUUUUAAAGGCAUUAAACCAACAUUGACGAGAGUUGAGGUUUAGGGUCGGAUAGUUAAAACUGACCGUUAGUUCUAAGUCCGCGAGAGCUAUUUAGGAUUAAUGAGUUUUAUAUUGAUUUUCAAAGGUACUUAUAUAGGUAAGUGAGCGCGUGAGAGCUGAGCAUUUAUUUUAUCUAAGUAUAACGCUAGUCAAGAUUUGCGAGAGCUGAGAUUAGUGUUUUUAAAUUAAAUAUAAUUCUUGAAAACUGACAACGGUUUUAUUUUCUUAAGCAGUUUUUAAUUAAGCGUUGAUUAUAAUUCGCCACGAGAGUGAGAAUUAAUUAAAGUAAAAAUCAAUAGAGCGAGAGCGUGAGAUUUCUACUAGAUAGUAAAAACUGAACAUUAAAUCUAAUUCGCAACGAGAGUUGGGAUUAGAAUUAAUUAAAUUAUAUUGUUUUUCAAAGAGUAUUUUAUUAGCGGGUGUGAGGACGAGAGUUAAGCACCACCUUUAUAAAUUAUAAUACUAUCUGAAUUGUAUUUUUAAAACAAUAUAGUUUCGAAAAUUUAAUUGUUACACCACUAAAAUCUAGAAGUAAUGCAACUACUUUGUAAAGUAUUUUAUUAAUUUCAUGAUGAGAGUUGUGAGAGCUGGAAGUGAGAACGGCUUUCGCCUGGAGCAUCGAUUUUAUUAAAAUACGACAAUUAGAUGUGGUAGUAAUUUUGUCUAGCGCGAACUAAGUAUUGAACCCUCCGAAGCAACUAAUAGCACGUCCUAGCAAUAUUUUAUUUACAUAUUAAAAAUCUAAAAAAAAUAUUUAUUUCUCUUAUUUUAGUUAUUCAAUUAAUCAUAACCCUUUAAAUCAUUAGCCUUAGAUUUACAAAGCAACACUAGAAUACGGUAGGUCGAUUAUUGGUCCUUUGGGUUCGAUAUCUUUUAAAACUACACGACACGACUGUAUACUUGCAGUACCAUUGCGUUGUCACACGAUCAGGGACUAGUUGAUCAAACAGAAAUCCCUGCUUCCUGCAAAAAUGCUUUUGAUGUUGCAUGUUUCCGCAUGGAGGAGAGAUUAUCCUACAUCAACACAGAAGGGUAUAUUACUUUGAUGAAUCCAUAUGGAAUUAGAAUGUGAUCUAACUAAAAUCUCUCUUGAUUUCAUACUUACUUUCAGUGCAUAGCUAACAAAGGCAUAUGAGACUGUUAAUGUUGUUUUUGAAGUUUCAAAAGCUGUUAAUAUGACACAAUCUAUGAAAGUUGUUUGUGAGGUAAUUUUCUCUCUAAUUCCUAAAUAUUGUUGUCUCUUUUUAUGUAAGCCUCUGUAAAUAUUGUAUUUAACUUAAUUCACUGUUACUGAACUUUUUCUUAACACUUGAUUCAGUUUUAUGAUAUUCUAUGAUUAUUUCUAGAUAGAAGGUGGUAGAGGUCCUAGUAUGUUGGAUGGGAUGCCUUUACACACACAAAAGGUUUGAAAAUUGUGUCCUUAGUCAUAGACCCUUUCACUAUCAAUUUGUGCAAAUGAUACUACUUGAAUGUUAUGUUGUUCUCGUCUUCUAAUUGUUAUUUUGAAAAAUUGUUGGUGUUUGUGUAGAGUUGUUGUUUGAUUUUUCAAUUAAAAAGAUUGGGUGUUGGUUGUUAUUCGAGUAGGGUUUGGGGGAAAUAAAUUAUUUGAUAUGUUUCUGUUGGUUGAUGAUUGCAUAAUUUAUUCUUGAGUAGUUGAGUUGACUCUCGAGUAUUCCAUAGUGUGUUGGAGUAGGAGUUUGGGUUGAUUGGAGAAAUCUCUCAUUUGUUUUGGUUGUCUAGGGACAUUUAAAAUGUGCUGCCUUUGUUGUUCUAUCUCUGUAUAAUUAUGCAAGAUAAUCUCUUGGCCAAUUUUGAAAGCUGAUCUAACUACUAAUUGUUAUCGAAUAAUCAGGUGAGUAUAUCCAAACAAACCCAUUCAUUCUCUUUAAUUGAAUAUUUUCUAAUGUUGUCUCCUAAUUAAUAUUCACCUUUUUUUAAUUAUGAAUUUGGGGAUUUUUGAUUUUGUUUUUAUGAAAUAUAGUGACUAAACCCCUUCCUUUCAUGGGUUUCAAGGAGAGCAUGGUGUUAUUGGAUCGGCGAGAAGAAUUCCUUUAAAUGAUAUUGCUAACGUUGGUUCUUCAUCUUUGAAAUAAACCAGCAAAAUCAUCACAGACAAUAAGUUCGUUGAAGACAUGGAAAUAUACAGUACAUAAUGGUACAUUUAUUAAUCGUGCAAGAUGUUCACCAAGAGCUUCGUUUAGGCGGAAUGUGGAAUCUAUCAAACCACGUCAUAUUGCAUUCCAAGGCCAAAAGAGAUGAAGAAAUUGGCCUUAAAGUUCGUUUAAGAGCGCAAAAGAGCAAGGUAGCCACAAUAUUACCGACGGACAAAAGCAGUAAAGGCCACCCAAAGGGCACUACACUCUGGCAAGAUUGUGAAGAAGCCUCAAAAGAAAUCUAAUAAACCCAAUCCUUCGUGAAAGCCUUCCUCUUCAAGGACAGAAGAAAUGCGGGUGCUACUCCAGACUGACAUGAAGGAUAAAAAGACGAAACAGAGAGGUUCUGGAACAGGAAAGAAGGCGAAGCAAUCAUUCAAAAGCAAGUCAAGGGACAAUGAUUUGCACAGGUUACUUUUUAUGCCUAAUGGCCUACCAGACGGUGCUGAGUUGGCUUACUAUGUCAAAGGACACGAGUCUGACUUGAUAUUAUCUCUUAAUAUUUUGUGUUUAUGGAUUGAUCUGCACGUUAUUUUUAUUUUUCUUAAAUAUGUGACUUGACUGAUGUGCUUUUCAGAAACUACUUGUAAGUUACAAACAAGAUAAGCUUUAUGAUUUUUGUUCACAGGUAAACAGAUAAGCCCUUCACAGUUUGAAGCCCAUGCUGGAAUGGCGGCUAGGCGUCAACCGGGAGUAGACUGUUAAAUAACUAAAUUGACUUUUCUAUUUUUCUUCAUCUCAAAAUGCUUUUUGUUCUUUUGCAGUUACCGCCACAUAUAUAUACUUCCAAUGGAUUUGCAUAGUGGUCACCAUUUGGUAGAAGAUCAGAAAGCUACUGAAACACAGAUUGACACACCUGUGAAAAAGUUCGGUACAGAGUCUGAUAGCAAAUUAAGGAGAUCAUACAUUGAAUGUCAACAUAAUAUGAUUUGGUUUUCAUCCUCCUUAUGCACUUUUGAUAUCCUUGUUCGUUUGUCCUGCAGCAACAAUUACAAGCACUACUUGAAAUUCUUAGUUCCACUGAGCCACACUACCCUUGAGUUUGUGCUUAUUACAUAGUAUGCCUGCUUGUAGGGGGUGUCAUGGAGGCUAUCCCACCAGAAAAACGUUUGAUGAAUUCGUGGAUCAAUUCGGGCUUCUUGCACCUGAAGCUUUUGAUCGUUGGUAUAUAAGUUGUUAAUCUUCCUUCCUUGUCAGGCUAUUAGAUUUUUAAUAUGUUCUGAUGAAGUCACUGCUUGCAAGAGGAUUUUGGAGAAGGUUGGGCUUAAAGGAUAUCAGAUCGGUAAAACCAAAGUGUUUCUUAGAGCUGGUCAAAUGGCAGAACUAGAUACUUAUAGAAGCGAGAUCUUAGGAAAGUCGGUAAGCAUUAUUCAAAGGAAAGUUCGUUCCUAUUUGUUCCGCCGAAGUUUUAUCUCGAUUCGCUUGUCUGCUAUACAGAUACAAGCUGCAAGCAGAGGUGUCACGACCCAAAACAAAUCGUGACCGGCGCGCGAACUAAUACCUAGUCCGGCAAGCCUAAUGACCGAGUUUAACAAUAAAUAUAAGAUUUCCAAAAUGACCAUUUACUUCAAAAAUAAUAUUUAUUGAAAUCUCGACAAAAUCACAUCUGUAUUUACAAUGUUUCCAAAUCAAAAUAAACCCUGUUUGCAGCAUAUA